AUUGAACGCUGGCGGCAUGCCUUACACAUGCAAGUCGAACGGUAACAGGUCUUCGGAUGCUGACGAGUGGCGAACGGGUGAGUAAUACAUCGGAACGUGCCCGAGAGUGGGGGAUAACGAGGCGAAAGCUCUGCUAAUACCGCAUACGAUCUCAGGAUGAAAGCAGGGGACCGCAAGGCCUUGCGCACACGGGGCGGCCGAUGGCAGAUUAGGGAGUUGGUGGGAUAAAAGCUUACCAAGCCGACGAUCUGUAGCUGGUCCGAGAGGACGACCAGCCACACUGGGACUGAGACACGGCCCAGACUCCUACGGGAGGCAGCAGUGGGGAAUUUUGGACAAUGGGCGCAAGCCUGAUCCAGCCAUGCCGCGUGCAGGAUGAAGGCCUUCGGGUUGUAAACUGCUUUUGUACGGAACGAAAAGACUCUGGUUAAUACCUGGGGUCCAUGACGGUACCGUAAGAAUAAGCACCGGCUAACUACGUGCCAGCAGCCGCCGUAAAAC
rnacentral:rRNA from 1 species